GCCAGUGUGAUAUAGUGGUUUGAGUGUUGAACUAAGACUCGGGAGACCAGGGUUCAAAUCCUUGCUCAGUCA